UACGGGGGGGGCAAGCGUUGUUCGGAAUUACUGGGCGUAAAGGGCUCGUAGGCGGCCAACUAAGUCAUACGUGAAAUCCCUCGGCUUAACCGGGGAACUGCGUCUGAUACUGGAUGGCUUGAGAUUGGGAGAGGGAUGCGGAAUUCCAGGUGUAGCGGUGAAAUGCGUAGAUAUCUGGAGGAACACCGGUGGCGAAGGCGGCAUCCUGGACCGGGAUUGACACUGAGGCGCGAAAGCCAGGGGAGCAAACGGG
rnacentral:rRNA from 1 species